rnacentral:tRNA from 1 species
UCCGGGUGGUCCUAGUGGUAAAGAACCUGCCUGCCAAUGCAGGAGACGUGGGAGACGCAGGUUCUAUCCCUGCAUCAGGAA